GACGAACGCUGGCGGCGUGCUUAACACAUGCAAGUCGAACGAAGUGGCGAACGGGUGAGUAACGCGUAAUCAACCUGCCCUUCAGAGGGGGACAACAGUUGGAAACGACUGCUAAUACCGCAUACUGAAGGAGGGGAUUGCGUCUGAUGAGCUAGUUGGCGGGGUAACGGCCCACCAAGGCGAUGAUCAGUAGCCGGUCGGGGGGGGUGAACGGCCAAAUUUGGACUUGGACACGGCUCAGACUCCUACGGGAGGCAGCAGGUGGGAAUCUUCCGCAAUUGACGAAAGUCUUACGGAGCAACGCCGCGUGAGUGAUGACGGCCUUCGGGUUGUAAAGCUCUGUUAAGCGGGACGCGGUACCGGAAUAGAAAGCCACGGCUAACUACGUGCCAGCAGCCGCGGUAAUUC
rnacentral:rRNA from 1 species